rnacentral:tRNA from 1 species
AGCUCAGUUGGUAGAGCAGAGGACUGAAAA